ensembl:snRNA U6 U6 spliceosomal RNA
GUGCUUGCUUUGGCAGCACACAUACUACAAUUGGAACAAUAUAGAGAUUAGCAUGGCCCCUGAGCAAGGAUGACACGCAAAUUCGUGAAGCAUUCCAUAUAUAU